rnacentral:rRNA from 1 species
UACGAAGGGGGCGAGCGUUGUUCGGAUUUACUGGGCGUAAAGCGCACGCAGGCGGUCGGCUGCGUAGGUGGUGACAGUCCUCGGCUUACCUGAGGAAGCGCUGCCUAAACGGGUCGACUUGAGGGCCAGAGAGGGACACGGAACUCCGGGUGGAGCGGUGAAAUGCGUAGAGAUCCGGAAGAACACCAAAGGCGAAGGCAGUGUCCUGGCUGGCUCCUGACGCUCAGGUGCGAAAGCUAGGGGAGCAAACAGG